CCUGACCCUGCCAUAGGCACCAGGCUCCUCUGCUGGGUGGCCCUCUGUCUCCUGGGAGCAGAACUCACAGAAGCUGGAGUUGCCCAGUCCCCCAGAUAUAAGAUCACAGAGAAAAGGCAGGCUGUGGCUUUUUGGUGUGAUCCUGUAUCUGGCCAUGCUGGCCUUUACUGGUACCAGCAGAUCCUGGGACAGGGCCAAAGCUUCUGAUUCAAUAUCACAAUGAGGAUGACUCACAGUUGCUUAAGGAUCAAUUUUCUGCAGAGAGACUCAAAGGAAUAGAAUCCACUCUCAAGAUCCAGCCUGCAGAGCUUGGAGACUCAGCCAUGUAUCUCUGUGCCAACAGCUUAGCCACAGCAUUGCAGAGACACUUCCCUCCUGUGCAGAAAACUGCAGGGCUCCUCUCCUCUAUCAGCUCACAGCAGCCUUUCCUUAUUCCUCAUCUUCCCAGGGAAGAAGCAAGUUUUCAGAUACAGUUAGGAUUCAUAUAAUGGGAGAAAAUGAACUAUUUCUUAAAACAUGAAGACUAUAAUUGUUGUUUUAUGU